ensembl:lncRNA
CCAACAUACCUAAAUAAUCACUAUAAAGUUAUAUGCUAUGGUUUUUAAGUGUCCUUUUCAAAUUUACUGUAAAUGUUAGAAACCAUUAAAUAAAGAAAUCAUCUUAGAUGUUGAUUAAAAAUUACACAUUUUCAAAUGUGCUUUAUGUUAUGCCAUUAAAGAGUGCAAUUAUUAGCCUGUUGCCUUUUUGAUAUAUUUCUGUUGGAGAUUAAAAAUACACAGUAACAUGCAAACCUCAUAAAUGUAAAAAAUGAAGUGAGAUUUCAACAUUUUAUUAAGAACCAGCUUUCACAAACCAUACAUUAAGGUACAAACACACGCACGCAUGCACGCACACACACACACACACACACACACACACACACACACACACAAACGAGUUAAAAAAAAGUUCCAGAAAUGUUGAAUCACCUAUAUGAAAACAACAGUCUCUCUAAUUUAAAAAGUCCUACAAUAAAAAAGACAGGCAUCCAACUCAUAUAAAAAUAUUUAAAAACACUAAGUAAAAGUUAAAGGUAAAAAACAAACAAAAAAACAAAUACAAAGCAGUACCAGUGAAUUUCAACACUGAUCAUAAUAGAUGUUGGUCAGAAAAGAGUCUCCUCAGAAAGACACUAUAUAAUAGCUUCUGUAAUUUAAGACUGUCUGCACAUUAUAAAGUGCACUUGAAUUACUAGUCAUCUCAUACUUUGUGAGGACUGCAAACUGGUCUCCUCUGGGAUGGGUCGGUUCUGUUGUGUGUUAUUCUGCCGUUUGUUGUGUUGCAGCUGAAUUGUCCCCAGCUAGCCUAGAAGACCCAGAUGGUCCAGUGCAGUUCUGGAUGCUAUCUCUGAGUUCGGACAGCUGGUGAGAAUGUUUAACAAGGGUGAUAUUUACAUGAGAAAGAUACCCAUCAGAGUGUCUCUCCAGCUCUCCACGAAUUCUUUCUAGGUCAUCAGCCAGGUGCGCCAGGCCUCCACACUGACCCUCCACGCGAGCAACACGACCCCCGAAUUCAGUCACCUCCUUCUGGACACCCAGUGCAGUGGAACGACAACCCUGGAGCUCUCCAGCCACUCUGCUCCUCAGAUCCUGGAGUUCCCCUUUCAAACGGGUCAACUUUCGCUCCCCAGUACCCAACAUAGAUGCCUGUCGUCCCACCAGCUGAACCACACCCUUCACCUGCUGUGCAAGCCUUUCUUCUCUUUCUUGCCAGGUGAGGUUGGUUUGGCCAAUCUCCCUGAUCACAGAGCCAAGAGACUCUUGCAAGCCACAGAGAGACCUGUUAACGGAGUUCACACUAAUUUUCAGCAGGGUUACCUCACCCUGAAGACCUACCCCGUCCUGUUUCUCUGCGAACUGGACAAGAAGAUUAUGUAGAGUGGCACUGAGGUUGUUCAGUCUCUCUACUUGUAAAUCAAGUUUCCCAGUCAUUUCCUUGUGGCUGUCCUCACUUCCCUCCUCCUCAGUUCCCAAAGGAGCUACAUAUCCUGUAAGAACAGGCUGUGGAACACAAGAUGAAGUACACAUGACCUCUAUGGAUUUGAGCUGUUUCUGUAAACGGUCCAAAUCAUCCUCCACUCUUCUUCUGAGCGAUUCUACGUCUGUCUCCAGUGUGGGCACAUCCUGACCCUCUAGCAAAGUUGGUGCUGUGACAUUACCUAGCUCCUCCACUGCAGCCAAAAGACGCUCUUUUCAAGAGCCUUAAGCUUCUCCUCCAAAUGCGCCUCCAGGUUGCUAGGCACUCUUUUGUUAAUGCUUGCUUCCUCUUGAUU